rnacentral:rRNA from 1 species
AACAGGAUUAGAUACCCUGGUAGUCCAUGCCGUAAACGAUGUCUACUAGCCGUUGGGGCCUUUGAGGCUUUAGUGGCGCAGCUAACGCGAUAAGUAGACCGCCUGGGGAGUACGGUCGCAAGACUAAAACUCAAAUGAAUUGACGGGGGCCCGCACAAGCGGUGGAGCAUGUGGUUUAAUUCGAUGCAACGCGAAGAACCUUACCUGGCCUUGACAUAGUAAGAACUUUCCAGAGAUGGAUUGGUGCCUUCGGGAACUUACAUACAGGUGCUGCAUGGCUGUCGUCAGCUCGUGUCGUGAGAUGUUGGGUUAAGUCCCGCAACGAGCGCAACCCUUUUCCUUAUUUGCCAGCGAGUAAUGUCGGGAACUUUAAGGAUACUGCCAGUGACAAACUGGAGGAAGGCGGGGACGACGUCAAGUCAUCAUGGCCCUUACGGCCAGGGCUACACACGUGCUACAAUGGUCGGUACAAAGGGUUGCUACCUAGCGAUAGGAUGCUAAUCUCAAAAAGCCGAUCGUAGUCCGGAUUGGAGUCUGCAACUCGACUCCAUGAAGUCGGAAUCGCUAGUAGUCGCGGAUCAGAAUGCCGCGGUGAAUACGUUCCCGGGCCUUGUACACACCGCCCGUCACACCAUGGGAGUUUGUUGCACCAGAAGUAGGUAGUCUAACCGCAAGGAGGACGCUUACCACGGUGUGGCCGAUGACUGGGGUGAAGUCGUAACAAGGUAACC